GAGUGUUUAAAGCAAGCUAACGCUUGAAUACAUUAGCAUGGAAUAAUGAAAUAGGGCGUUCGAUCUUAUUUUGUUGGUUUCUAGGACUGCCGUAAUGAUUAAUAGGGACAGUCGGGGGCAUCAGUAUUCAAUUGUCAGAGGUGAAAUUCUUGGACUUAUUGAAGACUAACUACUGCGAAAGCAUUUGCCAAGGAUGUUUUCAUUAAUCAGGAACGAAAGUUAGGGGAUCGAAGACGAUCAGAUACCGUCGUAGUCUUAACCAUAAACUAUGCCGACUAGGGAUCGGACGGUGUUAUUUUUGACCCGUUCGGCGCCUUACGGGAAAC
rnacentral:rRNA from 2 species